rnacentral:rRNA from 1 species
GACGAACGCUGGCGGCGUGCUUAACACAUGCAAGUCGAACGGAAAGGCCCUGCUUAUGUGGGGUGCUCGCGUGGCGAACGGGCGCGUAACACGUGCGUAACCUGCCCUCGAUUUUGGGAUAUCCUCAGGAAACUGGGGCUAUUACCCGUUAGGAGCACCUCAUGCCUGGUGGGGGUUGGAAAAUUUCCGCGGUUGGGGUUGGACUUCAGGUUUAUCAGCCUGUUGGUGGGGUAGUGGCUUAACAAGGCUUUCACGGGUAGCCGGCCUGCAAGGGUGACCGGCCACAUUGGGACUGAGAUACGGCCCAGACUCCUACGGGAGGCAGCAGUGAGGAAUAUUGCACAAUGGGCGGAAGCCUGAUGCAGCAACGCCGCGUGCGGGAUGACGGCCUUCGGGUUGUAAACCGCUUUCGCCUGUGACGAAGCGUGAGUGACGGUAAUGGGUAGAGAAGCACCGGCUAACUACGUG